rnacentral:lncRNA from 1 species
UCCGGGAGAGCGGAUCUGAGCCGCCGCUAAGGACGGAGACGCGCCUCAAGCUGUCACUUGCUGCCCGGAGUUCGUUCGGAAAGUUGAAAAAGCCUAGUCCUGGUUAGGAAAUCUAUCCAGCUGUGUAUAUACUUUUUGCUUUUAGGGUCUGAAGCUCAGGAAGGAUAAGAAAAACAAAAUCGCACAGCUGGCAAGUGGCAGAGCAGGACACAAUUAUUUUAUAACUCCAGAACAAGAAUUUGCAGUUGUUGCGCCAGAUGCCCUGUAGCAGGGCUGCCACCAAGAGGGUGGAAGAACACCUUUAAUUCCAGCACUCAGGAAACAGAAACAGGGUUGAGCCCAGAAAACCAUGCAAACACUUGCUCACACACAAACCCACAGUUCUCAUCUUAAAAGGAGCAAGAGAUGGUUUAUUCUGGAGCCAUCUUGAGUAAUAAUGAC